UUACCAGUGCAUGUAAGAGUUACAUUUACACUACGGGGUGGCUAUAUAUGUACAUAUAUCAUUCAACUAAAAAAUGCUAACCAUCAUCUGACAAUGCAGAGUUGCCAUAAACCUUGCUGUAAAAACUGCAGUAUCUGUGAAGGACGAUAAAGCAAAGUGCAAUGAAUGAGUUCUGCCUAUAUUAGUUUUCUGUGGCUGCAGAAGGAAUUAUGAUGCACUUACAGGCAUAAAACAGCACACAUUUAUUAUCUCAGUUUCUGUUUUGGGGGAGGUGGAUCCCCUGCUCAGGGUCUCACAUGGCUGCAAUCAAGUUGAAGGUUUGGCUGCAUUCUUGCCUAGAGGCUCAGCUGAACUUGAAUUAGUUCUCAAGCUUACUUGGUUGUUGCUAAAACUUAUUUCCUUGUGCUGUGUGGCUGAGGACACUGGCUUCUUGCUGGCUGUUGGACCAGAGACCAUGCUCAGUUCUCAGCUCCUUGCCAAGUGGGCCUCCCAACGUGUGGGCUACUUACUUCUCCAGAGCCAGCUAACGAGGGAGGAUCCAUGGAGUGUAAGCAGAAUGGAGUCCUGUAUAAUGCAAUGUAAUCACAGGAGCGAUGUCCCAUCACCUUUGUAUAAAGUUUGUUGGUCAGAAGAAAGCCACAGCCCCUAGAAGCAGCUAGUCAUUAUCACUGGCACCAGGGCUGUCCCGCUUGGAGCACUCUAAGGGACCUUGUAGAAUCCACCUGAGAGCUGAUUACAGCUCUCUCAGGGUUGGUCAAGGGUUGCCCCGUGCAGGGGGAUUUCUCACUUCACUGGGUAUACACUGGGUAUAGUUUCAGAAUGAUUGACUCAGUCCUCACAGGCGUCUCUCUUGGGGGCAGCAGAGAAGCCCAGGACGGACAGUGAUAGCUCCCUGGAGCAGCUGAGGUGAGGUGUGAUCAGGGAACUGUGAACAAGCCAAGUCCAAGGGAAGGGGAAGGAGAGAGGUGCAGGAAUUUUCAGCUGGAUACUAACAUUUGCUUCUCUACUAGUCUUCAGACUGGCACCUAGAACAUCCAAGAAAAUCAAUUAAACAUGAGAUUCAUUUGUGCAUUUAUUCACAAAAAUGUCCAUGAAACAUCAUAUUGGCAGAAUUGGCUUCCGUGGAGUGUGACCUCUACCUUUGCGUGAGUCCCCAGAGCUCAGAAGGACCCUGUGCUGGUAUAAUGGUCUGCUGUCACUGUCUUCCCUGAUGAGCUUCCCUGGCUCAGAUGACUGCAAUGCAGGAAACUCAGGUUCAGUCCUUGGGUUGGGAAGAUCCCCUGGAGAAGAGAAUGGCAACCCACUCCAGUGUUUUCUCCAGAAGAAUCCCAUGGACAGAAAGAGCCUGGUGGGCUGUAGUCCAUGGGAUCACAAAGAGUCAGACAUGACUGAAUGACUAAGUAUGCACGCUUGUCACCAUCUUGGAAUUUUAUCUUUGAACUUCUGUUUUGUAAGUGAGGUCUGAUGGAACAAUGACUAUAAGGAGAAAUACAUGCAAUAUGUGUAUUGACUCUUCCCCAUCACUCCAUCUGCACAGAGUCUGUGAUGUCCCAUGAGCAGCGAGUUCUGGAGGACCCAAGAUGCAUAGACGUUCAGGGAGACUCAAAGUGAGUACAAGGUAAACACGGUACCCCUAUAAUUGAGUAACUAGGGUAGAUGCUGACAGCUUCAAGUGGCCAUGAUUUUUGUUCAUACCAGGACUUUCUUCCAAUGGAGAAAGUAGGUAAAAAUUUUCUGAGAAACAUGAGCAACCAAG